ACUCAAAUGAAUAGACGGGGGCCCGCACAAGCGGUGGAGCAUGUGGUUUAAUUCGACGCAACGCGAAGAACCUUACCCGGGUUUGAACUGUAGUGGACAGGUGCAGAGAUGUGCCCUUCCCUUCGGGGACUGCUGCAGAGGUGCUGCAUGGCUGUCGUCAGCUCGUGUCGUGAGAUGUUGGGUUAAGUCCCGCAACGAGCGCAACCCUUACUCUUAGUUGCUAACACGUAAUGGUGAGCACCCUAAGAGAACUGUCGGCGAAAAGCCGGAGGAAGGUGGGGAUGACGUCAAGUCCUCAUGGCCUUUAUGUCCGGGGCUACACACGUGCUACAAUGGGCGGUACAAAGGGUUGCCAAAUCGCAAGGUUCAGCUAAUCCCAAAAAGCCGCUCUCAGUUCGGAUUGAAGUCUGCAACUCGACUUCAUGAAGUCGGAAUCGCUAGUAAUCGCGGAUCAGCACGCCGCGGUGAAUACGUUCCCGGGCCUUGUACACACCGCCCGU
rnacentral:rRNA from 1 species